CUUGAAUAAAAUAAGAGGUCCAGCCUGCCCAGUGAAAUUAUUUAACGGCCGCGGUAUCCUAACCGUGCGAAGGUAGCGUAAUCACUUGUUCUUUAAAUGAGGACUAGUAUGAAUGGCACCACGAGGGUUCUACUGUCUCCUUUUUUUAAUCAGUGAAACUAAUCUCCCCGUGAAGAAGCGGGGAUCUUUAUAUAAGACGAGAAGACCCUAUGGAGCUUUAAACAACCAACAUUUGCUACACCACAACAUUUUUCCUAAAAGAAGUAUAGCAUUAUGAUUUCUAGUUUUCGAUUGGGGUGAUCACGGAGUAAAAUGUAACCUCCAUGCCGAAAGGGUUUUUACCCUGAGCAAAAAGCCACAGCUUUAAACACUAAAAAAUUAACGCAGUUUGACCCAAUAUUUUGAUCAACGAAC
rnacentral:rRNA from 1 species